CACGCUAGCUGCCUAUUAGCUCAGUGGCAGCACUCGCUCAUGUUUCCCCUGCUCUGAAUAUAAACCCCUGCCCAAUUCUGAGAAGUACCACCUGCCUGCACAAGAGUGUGUUUAUGGGGUAUUCAUGUUUGGAUCACUGUAGCUGGACAAUCUUUCUUGGCUUUUGAGCUGUUUUGCUCUAGGGGCUCCUGCUUGUGCCUCCUGAUUAGUGACCAGCUGUGACUCCACCACUUCCUUGCCAAGAAAUCUGCACUUGAAGCCCUCUGAGAAGAUAUGUCCUCAGCUCUCCCAGCACUGAGCCAUGCAAUUGAAAGGAUACAACACCAACCCCAAAUCAGGAUUCUACAGACUAAGGAUCUGUGCCCCUGACCUUUUUGGAGGCCCAACCUGCUUGUCAGUGCUCUGGCUCAAGAAGCUGCAGCCUGCCAUACCCACCUGCUGGCCUCUUGGCAAGGAGGAAAGUGUGACGUGUGCCUUGCUGAGCAAAGCAAAAUGACAUUGCUGCCUAUCCCAGCCAGUUGUCAGCAUGUCCAGUGCUAAUUGUGUCAUUGCUGCACUACUGCCGUUUCUGCAAAGAUAAGGAAGAAACACUUUUCUUGCAGUAGAGGCAAUGUAAGCAGUGUCUGAGGUUGAUAAGCGACAUGGCAUGGCCUAGGUAAGCAAACAUUUCUUGUGGAACUUUUUGGAUGUAAUUAGAGGAGAGCUUGCCACUUUGCUAAAAGCCUUGAUUAUCACUUCCUGCCUGUUCCUUCUUCCUGACGUACCUUUUGAAUUAAGGAAUUCAUAUUGCUAAAGGAGUUCAUCUCAUUUUAGGAGGAACCAAUAAAUGAAGAAAAAAAAGCAGAAACUUUGUGUCCUUUGAACUAUCCACUUUUGGUAUCGGAGAUGUUGCUGAGCUUUUGUUCUGUGCAAGAAGCCUUCCUCUUUCAUCAGUCUUUCACUUGAGCACUUACUGGGACCUUCUUCACCUAGAUCACUCAUAAAAGGCUGAAAUUGUGCUAAUUCUCAGGAUGGGAUUGUUAAUAAGGGUAUGAAGAAGCGAUGGGAAGUCUAGCCACAAAUGAGGUCUAGAAUAUUUUCAGUUCUCUGAAGAGCCUCCAUCCAUUUAAACCUCGGGUGCUUAAUACAAGACAGAGGCUGACCAUGUGGGCCAGAAGCAAGCGCAGCCUGGCAUGCUCUCCUGUUGUGGGACAAAAGACUGACUUGGGUCUGUUCUCCUUUGCCUUUCUGAAAGAGGCCAUGGCAAGUUCCUUUGCUGUGCUGCUAGGUGAGUAAAAUAGGCACAUACAUAUCUGCUCUGUGUCUAAUAAGGAAAAAGUGAAAGGUGCUGGACAGGAACCUGCACUGAGGAUUCAGCCACGUCUUCAGGUCUGCAGACUUCUCUACCCCCAGUGCAUGUGAAGGAAAUAAAUGAUUCUGAAUAUAGGACAUUAAAAAAUAAAUGUAAAAAAAAAUUAUUUUACAUGAGUAGAGGACAGAGUGAGUGUUAAAGCUGUCUUACUAAAAAGGAUUUUAAAAGAUAGUUAUAACAGCACAGUUAAAAAUGAAGCCAUUUAAACACCAUAAUGUAGAAAUAUUCAUCUGUCAUAACAUUUUUUUUAUGCUUUGUCUUCCUAUCUGACUUCUGGAUUCUCAUGUCUAUCUGGAAUGCAUGUUAUCCCUGUAACCUUAACAGAGUCUUCAAGAAGUCUGCAGCUAACAAUUAAAUAUUUUCUCUUUAGGGUACAGUUAAGUCAGUGGUUAUUGCUAACUAUGGAGAAGCCAAUACGCUCACACAGCCUGGGGCAAUGUGAAAGCACAAGAAGCUCCCACCCGCAAGGCUCAGUGCUCCAAUCCUCAAACAGUGGCUUAGGCACGUGUGUAACUUGGGUCCUCAUGAAGUCACUAUCCCAUAGCUCCUGGCAAAAGGGGGAAGCAAUUGAGGCCAUGAAUGAAAACCUGUGCACAUACCAAAUACCUUUUUUUUUUUUUAAUGCACAUACUAAAUAUCUUUCAUUUUCUUCCUCGCCUCUUUCCACUAAAGAGGCUUGCUUAACAUUCUUUUUCUCCAAUUAAGAGUCAUUAUAUUUCAUAUGGCUCAUUAUUAACAGAAUCAGCUAGUUAACCCAAGGUCUGCCAACAAGGCAAAAGUUUUGAGAUCAAAAUGUUGUAUACAGAGGAAGCAGUGGAAUAAUGUGUUUGUUGUGGAUGGAAAUACUUUAGCAUGUGCCUCACACAGUGCUCUUGCUUCUGCACAAUACUGGAGGUGGUGUAGUUGUGGCUGAGUAAGCAGGUGAAGGAAGAAAAAAGCAAAGAUAAAUGACUGUGUCCUGAUUCCUAUCUGAGAGUACUGCCUUUGGGCUUAAGAUAAAUGGCCAGGCUGCGGCGCCCAGCCAGAGCACACAAAGCAGCAGGUGUGGGCAGAGGAGCGCUGGCAUUAUUUGAGCCAGUAGCUCAGGACCAGCUGGCACAGCACCCAACCAACCCAACCUAUGUGGCACAAUCAGCCAGCCACGUGGCAUGCUUACAUACCUGUGCUAGAGCGCAAGGGGAAAUGUGAACGGACUUAUCUGUGUGCAGUCUUAGCAAACCAAACUCAAGCUAUGGGGUCAAAAAUACUGCAGGCAAUGAUUAGACCCUCAGUAGAUGUUCUUGUCAGGAGAUUAUGAAGGCCUUGGUAUGAAUUAAUGGUACAAAGCCUAACAAGCUAUGAAAUGUCAGGAACAUUGGUUCAACUGAGCCAGCCUGCAAAAUCCAGGUAGUUUAGGUUAAUGUUUUAGGCACAUUACUCAUUUGAAUAAUGUGAUAUGUGAGUGUGCCACUUAGGAUCAGACAGAACUUAACACUAGAUAUCUACAAGUUACUGCCACGUAGAACUGGAAACAUUGGUCAGGUGGGGAAAGAAAACAAGCCUCCAGUUAAAGGAAUGUGUAGUGCAAAUACGUUAUGCAUACAAGUGCUAAGUACAUACAGGUAGAAAAUAGGAAAACAACUGCUGAGUGUAUCAGCUACAGCUAAGGAUGACGCACCCUUAUGUUUAAAAGUUGUCUGUUAAGGGUGUACGUUCACAAGGUCCUCAAGUACAGCAAGUAUCUUAGAGGACAAAGGAGUAACCGUACAGUAAAGGAGGUAUAAUCCAAGCUGUGUUUACAAGUGAAUAUAACAAUGAUGUUGUGUGUGGGUUUUUUUUUUUUAAUAUUUUCACUCUAUGGAGUAAAUCUUCAAAGUAGUGCAUGGGAGUCAUGCACACAAAUCUCAUUAUUCUGAAAGCUGCUUAGAAACUUCAGCCCUCGGAGUCAACAUACCACAACACAUUCAGAAGUAAAAUUUCAAAGAGCUACAAACGCUUCCAACAAUUAGCUAAUUUAAGGGGAAAAAACGAAGAAAAAAAUAGGAUUGAAAAGGAUUUAAAAGGGAAGAAUUACAGAGGGGUUAUAUGUUAAGAAGGAGGUAUUUGAAAGGGAUUGAGAGGGGUACAGUCGGAAGUGGAUGUAGUUAAGGCAUUUGCAAGAUUAGUUGAAGAAAAGUCUGGUAAAACUGGAAGUAGGGAGCAAAUCCUAGGACAAAUGAAUAUCGUUUCUUUGAUGUAUCUGAAAGCUGCAGGAUUUAUACAUAUUCAGCAUCUGGCCUGUGGACCUUAAGCUUCAUCACUACUUUUAUCCAAGCGUUCUUAUUAAAAUGCAACCAUAAAAACUAGUAUGUUGCAUAGAGAUGGAUUACCCAGUUAGUGGUACUGAACAGCUGCAAGUAUUUCAGCCUAAGGGGCCUCAGAGAAUUAAGUGUCAAAGCAGUAACGGAAGUUGCAACUUGAUGAGAAAGCUGGCUUAUUGAACACAAAAAAAUUCACAGUGUUAUUACUGCUGUAGAGAUGGGUUGUGAGUUUGAAGCUCACUUUCAAAUGUAUACUUAAAGAAAGAAGAUGACAUAAAUAUUAAAACUUCGGAGGUGAUGAGGAAAGCUCUGGCAUCCAAAAUACAUUGCCAUUAGUGCAGAUACACCUUUUGAACCUCCUGUAGGAUGUUUUUAUCUAUAUAGAAAGCGCAUUGGAAGUCCUGGAUGAGUAGGGUGUGUGUGUGCGCACUUGAGAUCACGGUUACCUCUAGGAUUAGGACACGUGUAACAUUCUAUAGGUGCCUUAGGAACAGACUCGACCAGUCUGUUCUGCUCAAGCUAAGCAAACACAGGGUAAAGAUACAUAGCGGAGAGCAUACACAGCAGCAGAGGAAGAUAAAUAAAGAGCUGAAAUGGGUCAGCAUGACAGCAUUCAAACUUUGUACUCCCGGGCUGUGCUGCAAAGCCCCUAGGAUUUUUUAUUUUUUAUUUUUUGCAUUUUACACGCUAAAAUUUCAAAACAAGGGGGACAAGAAAUCGAUGCCCUAACAUUAAGCAGACUGAUUUCUAAGAUUACUCUUAUUUUCAUUGCUUCGGUGAGCCAGUGCUACGUUCAGAGCACUGUCAGUGUUGAGGUUGAGUAGACAAGCACUGAGAGCUUCAUGGCCAUAAAAAUAAACACUGUCAGCAGGGUAUACAAAAUCAUGUAUUGAAUUUGAAACCUGACAUCGCAUGAGAAUGAAGGAAACCAGAUGCAUCUGUUAAGCAUUUCUGGACAGAUCUAUUUAAAUAGUGUCCUUCCUGCGCAUUGUAACUUUAUUUAAAAGCUAAGGUAGGACGGUGCUGCAGAGCUAGAAUAACCACCAAGGCAGGCCAGGACAUUAUUAUGUCAGAACAAAAACAUAAUCUUUUCUACUUUGGUAUUAAAACUCAUCAGAGCAAUCUGGCUUUUUCUCUGAAGACUUGAUCUAUGCAAUCAGCAUGAACACUGGUGCUAUUGCUAUUCCUCUUUAUGUAUUGUGAUACGGGAAAACACUUGUCCUCAUUAUGGAGAUUGUUUUGGAUACUUGAAAGUAGUGAAUCAUUUAACUGUACCCAGAUCACUGAGUGGGAAACUGAAAAUCCUGGUAGGCUCCUUGAUAGACUGGAGCCCGAUGAGGAGCCUGUAUAACAAAAACCAAGUGUUAUUUAUGAAGAGAGAAAGAAGAAAGCUAACAAAAGGGUAGCAGGAAAGGAAGGCUUUGGUAGAAGCUCUGAGUGAUCAGAGAGGACUUCCUUAUCAGAUGCAGCAAUUUCUCGGAGGCUUACAAUGAACUAUUUUAAUUUCUCAACAGCAAUUCAAGUUGUGCAGCCACUCAUAGCAGCAUAGAAGUUCUAUUUAAGAUAAUUGCUUGCAUUUUGCAUGUGCUAUAAGUGCUUACUCUUUCAGAGAGUGCAAGUUAUUGAUUGCUCCUGCCUAACAG
ensembl:lncRNA